AUAGCCUUUCGAAAGAAAGAUUAAUACCGGAUAGCAUACGAAUAUCGCAUGAUAUUUUUAUUAAAGAAUUUCGGUUAUCGAUGGGGAUGCGUUCCAUUAGUUUGUUGGCGGGGUAACGGCCCACCAAGACAACGAUGGAUAGGGGUUCUGAGAGGAAGGUCCCCCACAUUGGAACUGAGACACGGUCCAAACUCCUACGGGAGGCAGCAGUGAGGAAUAUUGGUCAAUGGGCGAGAGCCUGAACCAGCCAAGUAGCGUGAAGGAUGAAGGCUCUAUGGGUCGUAAACUUCUUUUAUAUGGGAAUAAAGUAUUCCACGUGUGGAAUUUUGUAUGUACCAUAUGAAUAAGGAUCGGCUAACUCCGUGCCAGCAGCCGCGGUAAUACGGAGGAUCCGAGCGUUAUCCGGAUUUAUUGGGUUUAAAGGGAGCGUAGGUGGAUUGUUAAGUCAGUUGUGAAAGUUUGCGGCUCAACCGUAAAAUUGCAGUUGAAACUGGCAGUCUUGAGUACAGUAGAGGUGGGCGGAAUUCGUGGUGUAGCGGUGAAAUGCUUAGAUAUCACGAAGAACUCCGAUUGCGAAGGCAGCUCACUAGACUGUCACUGACACUGAUGCUCGAAAGUGUGGGUAUCAAACAGGAUUAGAUACCCUGGUAGUCCACACAGU
rnacentral:rRNA from 1 species